rnacentral:rRNA from 1 species
UACGGAGGGUGCGAGCGUUGUCCGGAAUCACUGGGCGUAAAGGGUGCGUAGGCGGCGUGGUAAGUCGGAUGUGAAAUCUCGGAGCUUAACUCCGAAACUGCAUUCGAUACUGCCGUGCUUGAGGACUGGAGAGGAGACUGGAAUUUACGGUGUAGCGGUGAAAUGCGUAGAUAUCGUAAGGAAGACCAGUGGCGAAGGCGGGUCUCUGGACAGUUCCUGACGCUGAGGCACGAAGGCCAGGGGAGCAAACGGG